rnacentral:rRNA from 2 species
GCGAGUGAAGCGGGAUGAGCUCAAAUUUAAAAUCUGGCUGGUUUACUAGUCCGAAUUGUAGUUUAUAGAAGCGUUUUCGGUGACAGCCUGGGUAUAAAUCCUUUGGAAUAGGGUAUCAUAGAGGGUGAGAAUCCCGUCUUUGACUCAGUGCAUGCUACUAUGUGAUACGUUUUCAAAGAGUCGAGUUGUUUGGGAAUGCAGCUCAAAAUGGGUGGUAAAUUUCAUCUAAGGCUAAAUAUUGGCGAGAGACCGAUAGCGAACAAGUACCGUGAGGGAAAGAUGAAAAGAACUUUGAAAAGAGAGUUAAACAGUGCGUGAAAUUGUUGAAAGGGAAACGCUUGACACCAGUUAUGCGGGUGGAAAAUCAGUCUUUUGCAAUGGGGAGUUGUGGGCGUUCAGACCGCAAGGCUGGCGUUUGCUUCAUCUUUGUUGUAAGUGAUGCACUUUUUCAUUUGCAGGUCAACAUCAGUUUGCUUUGCUGGACAAAACCCCAAGGGAAGGUGACAGCUUAGGCUGUGUUAUAGCCCUGGGGCGAUACAGUGGAGUGGACUGAGGUUUCGCAGUGUGUGCUCUCGGGCAAGGCUGACUGGGUGCUAUGGGAUCGUUCGGCGUACAAUGCAUGCAUUUUGCGUCGUGUCUUUUUCAUACUCGCUCAACUCGGCUCUUCCACGCUUAGGA